UACUUAAUCUUUAAUUAGCUUCGUUGUUCUAAGCUGUUGCAUAAAAGCUAUUAAAGUUACAGCAGGACAUAAUGUAUGCUUGCACAGUAAGAACAACAAAUAUAGGCAGAACAGUCUUUGUCAUAAAUAUCCCUCAAGCCGUCUCAGCAGACCUCUCUGCCAUCAUUAUGCAGCUCAUGGCCAGCCUGCCUGAGCAGUGCCAAACAAACAGCCAGCACCGAGUGCAUUUAAUGGCAGCAGCUCCUCCUCUUUCUAAACAAUAUGUGCAAACAUGCCUUUCCAUCCCCUGGGGCUUUCAUUGUUUUAUGAUUAGCAGGUCCCUGAGUGUUUCUUGAGGAGAGACAUCAAGACAAACCCACUGACAUGAAGAAGACCUUCCCUGAUCCAUGGGGCUCUUGCUGUGCAUGCCACAAGGAGACAGAGGCCAAGGGCUAAAACAUCACUUACCCCACCCCCUGAGGGAGGAUACAGGAGACCCCCAUCCUUCAGUUAGCUGCGUGCAAGGAGAUACAUGUGAAAAAUCAAUCAGAGAGGAAGCAUGACCCCUCAAACCAGGGAUGCUGCUAAAGAGGAUAUGGGCCCGCAGGCUGUCAUGCAAGGAACGGUAUUAGUGCAGCCUCAGUCAAAAGAGAAAGCCAGACCACCACGCUCAGGCUUGGCUCUGCUGCAACCGCUUCUCGUGCUCCAGUGCUGCCUUGCUGACUCUUGGAUGCUGCCUGUGCAAGGACCUGCCCUGCCUGCUUGGUGCUGGUUAUCAGUGGUCAGUUCCAAUUUCAGCAAAUAGCUCUGGUGGAAAAGGACAGAUCUGUAAGUCCCUCAUUGUCCUUCUCUCCGUGCCUGGUGGGGAGACUGAAUAAAAUAUGCUGGAUGCUGCAGGAAGAUGCAAAAUUUAAAUAAAUUCCCCUUCCUUCUCAGAAAUAAAAAUGUUUCUCCCCUAAGAACCCCUUGAUUAAUUGAACUCGCAACUGACAAAUCGAGGAUCGGAAUUCAAAAUCCAAUUGAAAUGGAGGAAAACAGCAUUACGCACCAUCUGAUGCAGUCAGCGAUGUCACAGAAUGAAACGACUGCAGAAAAAUAGGGCCUUGUGCUGGAGGAGCCGUCAUUAAGAUGUGGCGAGGGUAUUAUUAAGUAAAAGAACAUUGAUUUUGUUUGAAGGAUUUGGCCGUCCAUAUUAAAUAUCAUCUCGGUAAUGUGAUCUCAGUAGUCGCUUGAAAUGUCAGACUCACUUGGCUACGUCUGUUUGCUGGGGUUGCUGCUGGAAAAUGGAAAUGGAAAUCUCGUUCUUUAUCAGCCCAUGGUCUGCAUUAGCAACUUGAUAGGCUUCGCCCAUACGGGGAUGAAUUAGCAUACGAGCUCACUAUGGGGAAUAUAGGUAUGCCAGGAACGCUGGUGUGUGUAAAACAUGUGACAGCAACAAGAUGAGUAAUGCAGGCAGAAGCAGCCACCAUAGCGAGAUAUUUCAAAGCCAGGAACCUCUGUAAGCUCUGGGCUUUCGUGUGACGUGCGCUAUGGAUCCAACGCCGGUCUGGGUCCUCUGCUGCAUGAGUACACGCAGUGCUGCUGGCUUCAGCUCCACAUUCCUGCUUCGGGAGAGCAGGGAGCCUGCAUCUCCGCACCCACGGACACUGCUUCUGUCAGGGCUUGAGAGGCAAUCAGAAAUGCCUAGAUGUCACACUGAGGAGCUGUGACGUCCACCCAAGAAGGGGGAAGAAAAAGGCUUGCUUGUUGCUCAAACCAGAAUAGCCACCACUGAGCGCACCCCAAGGCCCACCUGCUGGAUGCUCCGCAAAGACACCUCGGCUUUGCUGCUUCGAAGAGCCUCGAAUCGAGUCCGCAGAUCAAGCGUGCCACCUGCAGCCCAUGCCUGGCACUGCGGGGCGGUCUAUUCAUCAGGAAAAUUACGCUGUUACGUGUGACUCUUGAAUGCUUCUAACACCGGUCACUGGCAACGUGGCCACUGUUGGCCCAGCAGCACUGAGGGCACAUCCUGGGGAGCGUGCAUGGACAACAAACUGCGUCUUGAGCCCAACAGCACGACCCCCCUCCCAGCUGUAAUAAAUGAAAUUGCACCAGAAAAACAGAAGUGAUUUUUACUGACGUGAUUUAAUGGAAAGUGAAUUCCUCUAUCCCCUGCUCUGAACUUUGGCUUUAGAGAAACAUCUGCUAUCUAUGAAGAAGUGUCUGCAAUGUCGUGCCUUCACAUCUGGGCAGCAGAGAUGAGCGAGUGAUGACAUUUGCCUUCUCUAGAACUUGCUUAUAUUAAAUGUAUAUUAAAUGAGAGGGCUGGAGCUGUGGCCUGCUGCAAGACUUGAGCUACAAAUGCUCACAGGGAGAGCUUCAGGAGAUGCAUUCACCACCUGAAUGGUCAAAGGGUUCUGCCUAAAUCCCAUCCCCUUUCUGAAACGCAUUCCUUCCAAACACACAUUAUUAUUUGCACAAUGAUCUUUCAUCUCAUACGACCAGCUUUGCUUCAGAGGGGUUUCUGUGGCAGCUUGGCAUUUGGUGCUGAAUAGCACUGAAGCUAAUUGAUGGCAUAUAAAACAAGGAAAUGGUAUUUCCUAGAGUGGAAAGCUAUGUUUGUUGUUUAAUGAGCCUCAUGUGGACCAGUUUGUACCAUGGGGAAGGGAGCUGGGUAGGCUCCCUGAAACCAUAGCAUAUAGUAUUUCCUCAAGGUGCUACAAAAGGUGGUACCCCCACCAUCAGAAAAAUGCCAAGCUGGCCCCAAUAGAUGAGUAGAAACCAGAUUAGUUUUAUCACCGUGAUAAAAGAAUGGAAGUGAAGUUUUUGUGGGGGUUACCGAGAGGUUACCGAUAUUUAUCAGAUUUAAGUUAAACUUUUGAGCUGCAGUUAUAUCUGAAGAAGCCCUAUAUUUUUGAAGACAUCACAACAGAGAAAGAGAGUGUACUUCAGAUGAACUUCUCUCUUCUCAGACAGCCCUGAUAUACACGCUGGAAAUCAGACAAAAACCACUGACUAACCUAUCCUGACAUCUUUACCAGGCCUCUUCACUGCUACAGCAAAUAAAAUCGAAUUCCUUCAGCUGAAAAAUGUGAACAAAACUUUCUUUUCAUAAAACACUGGAGUACUGUGACACAUCAGCAAAUGUCCAUAGGAAAACCCAGCUUCACGCCUCCGCAGUUUGUGGUCCUUCUAGAGCCCCAUGGAUGGCUCUUGAAUGGGAUGACCUGGAGAUGCCUCAUAACAAAGAGGAGAAAAGCCACCUGAAAGAGAGUACUCAUGAUUCGUCCGGCUGUAGUUUAAAGAGUUUCAGUUCUCCGAGGGGCCCGUGCUGUUGCUGCCCAGUCACCAUUUGCAAGCAAGUGGAGAAUGGCUGAAGUGGAAGCUUACAAACACCCUACAGGCAGAAUUUCAUUCAAAACUGGGACGGGAGCUGCUCAGCACAUCUGGACAUACCUGCUGUCUGUAUCGCAUUCUUCAGUUCAGACACAUCAAGAAAUCCAGAACGAUUUCUGUCUUCCCUCCUGAAGAGAUCCUGAAAAACAGCAGAAAGGCAGAUUUCAAGCCUGUAUCACCACUCCCCAAAUAUACUGCUAUAUCUAAUUGGGUAGGAUGCUUUCCUUCCUUAAUAAAUUUGCUGCAAGGAAGUCAACAGAUAAGGUGAGGCAACCAUGACAAGACAGACCAUUUCCAGAAGGCUCAGACAGUGUAUAUUAGCAAAAAAAAUUCCAGUUUGGGGUGGGUUGAAGCCUUUUUGCUCACUUUCCUGGUUUGUGUGCACAAGCAACAAUAGGAAUACUCAUACUUCCACUGAAGAAAAGACAUUGUAAUACAUUAAAUCUGCCAGGUGUCCCCGUGUCCCAGAAUGGCAUGGGCUCAUCUUUCCCAGCAAACCUGAGGCACUGCCAGUGGGACAGGCAUUGCCGCUCAAUGGGGAACUGGCACCCCAUUGUCCUAGGUGGCCACAGACCAUCUUGAGAGGGACAAAAUAAAGCACAGCCUGCCCAUCUUGGAGGCUUCAAGGAAUCUUCCCCUCCUGCAGUAAGCCUGGAGGAAGAAACACGUGACACAGGGAAGCUGCCUGAACUUAGGUGGGGCCCUAAAUACCAAGCUGGUGUCCACACGGUUUCCAAAUCUAAUGCUUUUCUGGGAGCAGAAAUAUUAACCUCAGGGAAACUUUCAGCAGAUCCUACACAUCUCUGCUGCAAACAGCAGCAGUGAGGAAGUGACGCUUUUCAGGUGACAGUUCAAAAAUUCAUUUCAUCUCAGAAAGCUUUAAAAUGAGUUCCCAGUGGUGGCACACAGAUUUGCAUCAAAUCCUGAGACUAACUGGCCUUCCCAUGUUUUCCCCUUCAGAAAAUCCCUGGUUGCUUGCUCACAGCGUUUCGCACACUCCUGCUU